rnacentral:rRNA from 1 species
CAGUCGCCGCGGUAAUACGAAGGGUGCAAGCGUUAAUCGGAAUUACUGGGCGUAAAGCGUGCGUAGGCGGCUUGUUAAGUCUGCUGUGAAAUCCCCGGGCUCAACCUGGGGAUGGCAGUGGAUACUGGCAAGCUAGAGUGUGUCAGAGGAUGGUGGAAUUCCCGGUGUAGCGGUGAAAUGCGUAGAGAUCGGGAGGAACAUCAGUGGCGAAGGCGGCCAUCUGGGACAACACUGACGCUGAGGCACGAAAGCGUGGGGAGCAAACAGGAUUAGAUACCCCAGUAGUCCCUGUCUCUUAUAC